rnacentral:rRNA from 1 species
CCUACGGGCGGCAGCAGUAGGGAAUCUUCCACAAUGGGCGAAAGCCUGAUGGAGCAACGCCGCGUGGGUGAAGAAGGUCUUCGGAUCGUAAAACCCUGUUGUUAGAGAAGAAAGUGCGUGAGAGUAACUGUUCACGUUUCGACGGUAUCUAACCAGAAAGCCACGGCUAACUACGUGCCAGCAGCCGCGGUAAUACGUAGGUGGCAAGCGUUAUCCGGAUUUAUUGGGCGUAAAGGGAACGCAGGCGGUCUUUUAAGUCUGAUGUGAAAGCCUUCGGCUUAACCGGAGUAGGGCAUUGGAAACUGUGAGACUGGAGUGCAGAAGAGGAGAGUGGAACUCCAUGUGUAGCGGUGAAAUGCGUAGAUAUAUGGAAGAACACCAGUGGCGAAAGCGGCUCUCUGGUCUGUAACUGACGCUGAGGUUCGAAAGCGUGGGUAGCAAACAGGAUUAGAUACCCUAGUAGUC